UACGUAGGAGGCAAGCGUUGUCCGGAGUUACUGGGCGUAAAGCGCACGCAGGCGGUUCAGUCAGUCUGUAGGGACAGGGCACAGCUCAACUGUGUCAGGCUUACGGAAACUGCUGAACUUGAGGGCUUCAGAGGGAUGGGGAAUUCCGGGUGGAGUGGUGAAAUGCGUAGAGAUCCGGAAGAACACCAAAGGCGAAGGCACCAUCCUGGGGAGUCACUGACGCUCGGGUGCGAAAGCUAGGGGAGCGAACAGG
rnacentral:rRNA from 1 species